rnacentral:lncRNA from 1 species
CUCCCGCCUCAGCCUCCCAGUCGCUGGGACCACAGGCGCACGCCACCACGCCGGCUAAUUGUUGUAUUUUUUGUAGAGACAGGGUUUCGCUGUGUUGCCCGGCUGGUCGUCUGGGGUUUUCGGGACAGCGCGCGUCAGUGAGGUGCGUGAGGAUCGUGUGCAUCUGGCAGGUUUUGAUGCAGAAAGUUGCCUUGGGCCGCCAGCAUGAGCAUUGUAGGCUGUAGACUUUGGUGUACAGGUUGAGCGUCUCUAAUCUGAAACCCCAAAUCCAAAAUGCCACCAAGUCCAAAGCUGAGUGCUGACAGGAAGCUCCAGGGAAAUGCUCGUCGCAGUGUUUUCUGUUUGGGGUUUUCAGGUGAGGGCUGUUGAACUGG